UUGUAGGUGGUUGAUAGAAGUUUGUUGAGUCAUGAGGUGAAGGGACAUUCGAGUUACAGUGGGAGGAGGAAAUCAAUAAUUCCACAUUAAAUGUGAGAGGUACAUUAUUGCUCCAGUGUGCUAGUCUUGAAAAUGGGCAUGCUUGUGACGAUAGAAGCCAUUUAGAGUCAGGUAACUAAUAUUUUUGCUGGGUUGUAAAAUGCAUCUGACUAUUUCUUUGAUGUGAUUCAUCUUUAAUAAUGGUUGGAGUCAAUGGUUAGUUAGUCUCACAUGCACUUGGAUCACCUUUAUAUUAUCUAGUAUAUGACUACUUAAGGUGCAUUACCUCUGGCCAGUUGGAUUUCUUAUGGAUGGAUCCGAAAAAUAAUGGCAUGUUACUAAUUUGAAGCAAUUUUAAAGUCCAUUCAAUUGAGUACACCAUGUCAGUUCGGAUUAGUGGAAUACCUUAGUCUUGGAGUUCUUUCGUGCACAUAAUGUUUCUUUUGAAGUAUCUCUGUCAACUUGUUUUUGUCAUCUUAACUGAAUCAGGACUUCAACUAUUUUUCACUUCUUGUAUGUAUUAUUUUUUAAAGGCUCGACACCCAAACUAUAAGUAUCAUCGUUUAUGUGCAGUAAGUUACAAGGAAAGAUGAAUGUUGCUGGUAAUGAUGUUUGUCCUGUGCAAAUAAAAUUGGUUGUACUCCAUCUCAGCUUGAGCAUGUUAAUUUUCAAAAUCUGAAUGCUAAGUGUAGAUUAUUGGUAAGGUCUGCAAUCUUGUCUGUUUAAUUUUUAAUUGGAAACCUGGUUCUCUCUACUACAUACGCCAUGUAUCUGGAUUUUGGGUAGUGUUAGUGACAACGUUUGUGAGUCCAAUUUGGAAUAACCGUCGUAUGCAUUGUUGUUUUAGGUACACACCCUCCUAGUUCACAUUGAAAAACUUGUUUUAGAAUCUCCCAAAAGAGCAUGCCUAAAUGUGAAUGCUUAUGAAGAUUUGUAUGUGUUAUUGCAUCGACAAAUUCAUCUCCGGUAAUUUCAACAUUUGUUUCUAACAACGAGUAUUGAGAUGGAGAUCAUGUAAUAAAUAUUGAAUGAAUACUUGAAUUUUGCUUCUUUGUAUUUUCUCUAUGUACAUGGAGAGAUGAACACAUGGUCACCUCUUCAUGUUAUCAGGAAACAAGCUAAAUCCAAAGAUUGAAGAAUGUCGUCAGUUGGGAAGAUUAUUAACCUGUAUAAGGAAGAUCUCGUGUUUUGAUAAACAAGGCAAGGAGUGUCAAAUCCGUAUACUCACAGUUGUGACCUGUAACUAUUUGUACAUUGCUCGAGGUCUGCAAUCCUGUCUGUUCUAGGUAUACUAUUCCGGUCAGUUGGGCAGCUCAAUUCAUCUUUUGGUUUUAGUUUAUUUCAUCGUCUGUAGGUUGGCUUCCAUCAAAUGUAAGAAAAUACAUAUUUAAGAAACUAAGAAACUAAAAUGGUGUGAAUUCGGUAGUUGUGUAGAGUUUUAUGUGGUUUUGAACUUAGUGUCAUUUCAAUUCACAUGUGAAUUCAAUUUAUAUUGUAUAAUAAAUUUCAAAUUUUGAAUGAAA